GAUGAACGCUGGCGGUAUGCCUAACACAUGCAAGUCGUACGAGAGUUUUUAACUCUAGUGGCGGACGGGUGAGUAACACGUGAGAAUUUGCCUUUAGGAGGGGGACAACAAUCGGAAACGAAUGCUAAUACCCCAUAUGCUUUCGAGUGAAAUGGAUUUUAUCCGCCUAGAGAGAAGCUCGCGGCUGAUUAGCUUGUUGGUAAGGUAAGAGCUUACCAAGGCGACGAUCAGUAUCUGGUUUGAGAGGACGAUCAGACACACUGGAACUGAGACACGGUCCAGACUCCUACGGGAGGCAGCAGUGGGGAAUUUUCCGCAAUGGGCGCAAGCCUGAUCCAGCAAUUCCGCGUGGGUGAAGAAGGUCUUCGGAUUGUAAAGCCCUUUCGUUGGGGACGAUGAUGACGGUACCCAAAGAAGAAGCCCCGGCUAACUUCGUG
rnacentral:rRNA from 1 species